rnacentral:misc_RNA from 1 species
UAAACUAAAUCAUAAAAACAAAAAGACAACAAAGGGCAAAAUCCCAAUUUUCUCAACUGAGAUUCAAUAAUCUAUUUCAUCAAGAGAGACAAAAAAAUCAGCAAUCCAUUUCAUCAACAACGAGAAAUUGUGUUGAUGAAGAUGGAAAACACAAUAACCAAUCAUAAAAAAUUAAAAAAAAAGAUUGAUAUUCAAAGGGUGAGAGCGAGGCUGUUGGGAUACAACUAUGCUGAGAAGAGCCUGUGAUGUCAUGGUGUUGAUGAACACUUGAGAUAUUGCGAUGUUGGGAAUAUCAAGACACAGAAAUGGAAGUGCGUGAUAUGGGCGUCGCGUUAUGCUUGGAUAGUUGGAGAACUCGAGAAUGCGCUAGUCGGUCAGUGACUUGAUGGUUCAAAACAUAACAUGCAGUGAAAGUCACAAUUAAAAAUGGCAAGGGUGAACGAAGAAGAGAGUGAGAAGAAGAGAUGAGGAGAGAGUAGUGCCGACAAAGAGAGAAAGGAGGAAAAAGAGGAGAGGAGGUAGGGUUUUAGAAAGUUAAGAAUUUAUAUCAAGAUUUAAACGGAUAAGAUCUCUUACAAUGGACGGUUGAGAUUUUAGUUAAGGGAAAAAAAUAUAGCAAAAUAUGCUGAUGUAGAGGAUCGAUCUCAAGACACAAAAGUCUCAAUAGUCCCAAGUAACAAUUGAGCUACAACUUGUUAGAUGUAGGGGUGAGCACUAUUCGGUUUGAACGGAAUAAACUGAACUAGACUUGUCCUAAUUCGGUAAUUCGAUUCGGUUUCAUUGUAAUUCGCUUCGGUUGAAUUUUAGUUUUUAAAAAUUUUCAUUUUUUUGGUUUGGUUUUGAAAAUAAAAAUUGUGGUUGAACCGAACCGAACCAAAUAAAUUAAAAUUGAAGAUUAAUGGUGCAUCUAAAAGCUGUAGCUUAGUGGUUACUUAGGACAAUUGAGGAUUUUGUGUCUUGAGAUUGAUCUUCUACAUUAGCAUAUUUUGUUAUAUUUUUUUUCCUUAAUUAAAAUCUCCACUGUCCAUUUUAAGAGAUCUCAUUCGUCCA